rnacentral:rRNA from 1 species
AUACGUAGGGGGCGAGCGUUGUCCGGAAUGAUUGGGCGUAAAGGGCGUGUAGGCGGCGCGGUAAGUCUGGAGUGAAAGUCCAGCUUUCAAGGUGGGAAUUGCUUUGGCUCCUGCCGCGCUUGAGUGCAGGAGAGGUUAUCGGAAUUCCCGGUGUAGCGGUGAAAUGCGUAGAGAUCGGGAGGAACACCAGUGGCGAAGGCGGGUAACUGGACUGCAACUGACGCUGAGGCGCGAAAGUGUGGGGAGCAAACAGGAUUAGAUACCCCGGUAGUCCACACUGUAAACGAUGAAUGCUAGGUGUAAGAGGUAUCGACCCCUUUUGUGCCGGAGUCAACACAAUAAGCAUUCCGCCUGGGGAGUACGGCCGCAAGGUUGAAACUCAAAGGAAUUGGCGGGG